AUUGAACGCUGGCGGCAGGCCUAACACAUGCAAGUCGAGCGGUAACACAGGGAGCUUGCUCCCGGGUGACGAGCGGCGGACGGGUGAGCAAUGUCUGGGAAACUGCCUGAUGGAGGGGGAUAACUACUGGAAACGGUAGCUAAUACCGCAUAACGUCGCAAGACCAAAGAGGGGGACCUUCGGGCCUCUUGCCAUCAGAUGUGCCCAGAUGGGAUUAGCUAGUAGGUGGGGUAACGGCUCACCUAGGCGACGAUCCCUAGCUGGUCUGAGAGGAUGACCAGUCACACUGGAACUGAGACACGGUCCAGACUCCUACGGGAGGCAGCAGUGGGGAAUAUUGCACAAUGGGCGCAAGCCUGAUGCAGCCAUGCCGCGUGUAUGAAGAAGGCCUUCGGGUUGUAAAGUACUUUCAGCGGGGAGGAAGGCGAUAAGGUUAAUAACCUUGUCGAUUGACGUUACCCGCAGAAGAAGCACCGGCUAACUCCGUGCCAGCAGCCGCUGUAAAAC
rnacentral:rRNA from 1 species